rnacentral:rRNA from 1 species
UACGUAGGGUGCAAGCGUUGUCCGGAUUUAUUGGGCGUAAAGAGCUCGUAGGCGGUUCGAUAAGUCGGGUGUGAAACCUCCAGGCUCAACCUGGAGACGCCACCCGAUACUGUCGUGACUAGAGUCCAGUAGGGGAGCGUGGAAUUCCUGGUGUAGCGGUGAAAUGCGCAGAUAUCAGGAGGAACACCAGCGGCGAAGGCGGCGCUCUGGGCUGGCACUGACGCUGAGGAGCGAAAGCGUGGGUAGCGAACAGG